GACGAACGCUGGCGGCGUGCUUAACACAUGCAAGUCGAGCGGAGCGGCGAACGGGUGAGUAACUCGUGAGUAAUUGCCCCCCUCUCUGGGAUAACAGAUGGAAACGGCUGCUAAUACCGGAUAGUGGGGGAUGACUCGGGGCCUAUCGGCUUGUUGGUGGGGUAGUGGCCUACCAAGGCGACGACGGGUCGCCGGCCUGAGAAGGCGACCAGCCACAAGGGGCUGCGGGACGGCCCAAACGCCUACGUGGGGCAGCAGUGGGGAAUAUUGCACAAUGGGGGAAACCCUGAUGCAGCAGCGCCGGGUGCGGAAUGACGGCCUUCGGGUUGUGAACCGCUUUCAGCCAAGACGCGGUAGUGGCAGAAGAAGCACCGGCUAACUACGUGCCAGCCGCCGCGGUAAUUC
rnacentral:rRNA from 1 species